rnacentral:misc_RNA from 1 species
GACUUUUGAGGGCAGAGGCAGGCGACGUUUAGUCUCACGGGGCUGGCUCGCGGCGCGGACCGCUACCCAAAUGCCUCGUCGGGUACGACUUAUUGUGUGGUAAAAAGGCUGGAACAUCGAUAACGGACUGGAUUUUCCUAGUGGUGACGAAGACCCUUUGCUGCCAGGAAGGCGGAGGAAGAGGGGAAAAAAAAAUGCAGCAGAUCUUUCAAGAGAUGGUGGUAGGAAGUCUUGUCGGCAAUCCAUGGCAGUGGAGAGACCAAAGAUGGCUAUGAAUAAGUUUUCUAUUUUUACAGUUUUAGAUGUGGAAAGGAUUAUCAUGACUUCUAGACUACAAAGGGACUCUGAGCAGAAAAACAAUUUGAAGAAGUCGGAAGUUUUUCUAUUUGCAGAUUUUCAGAAGAGCUGUCAAGCUCAACUGUGAAAGCGGUACAUUGGCAGGGCUGGAGGAGCAGGCUAGGUCAUUUCCACAAGCUUGAAGUUGCACCUGGGACUGAAUAAGAGCUAGAUGGCCUUCACAAUUUUUAAUGCUGCUUGGGAAAGGAUGCAGUAGGGGGAAUUAAGAGGAGAAAUGGAAGAAUAAAAAACAAAAGCUUGGGGUCAUCUACUUGAUUUCUCACUCUUGGAAUUAGGAUUGUGUGCAGAGGCAAGGUAGUGUUUGGAGCAUGAAAUAGUUGUUCAACUACAGCCCAAGACUCCUAGAUGUCCUGACAUGCUUCUCAGACUUUCAGAUCAGUUGAGUCCAGGUUCACAUGUAUGGACAUAGGAGUAGUACUUCUGAAUUUGCCCAUCUGAAUUGUGACAGAUGCAUGGACAGCCACAUGAAAUGAAAUAAUGGAUCACAGGCGGAGAAUGUGUUAACAGAUGCUGCGAGGAAUGAAGCCAAGGAAAGAACAAGUUCCAGUUCUGGAAAUGCAAGAAAGAACCUCUAGUGAAAGGAGAUUGAAGCAGUUGCAAUCAGAAUUAUAAUAUCAGAAUUAGUAAAGGUGUAGUCACUACAUAGGAUUAUCUUGACUUCCAACAACUCUCAAGUGCUUUUAUUAUUGAAAGAAGGCUGGAACAUCGAUAACGGACUGGAUUUUCCUAGUGGUGACGAAGACCCUUUGCUGCCAGGAAGGCGGAGGAAGAGGAGGAAGAGGAAAAAAAAAAUGCAGCAGAUCUUUCAAGAGAUGGUGGUAGGAAGUCUUGUCGGCAACCCAUGGCAGUGGAGAGACCAAAGAUGGCUAUGAAUAAGUUUUCUAUUUUUACAGUUUUAGAUGUGGAAAGGAUUAUCAUGACUUCUAGACUACAAAGGGACUCUGAGCAGAAAAACAAUUUGAAGAAGUCGGAAGUUUUUCUAUUUGCAGAUUUUCAGAAGAGCUGUCAAGCUCAACUGUGAAAGCGGUACAUUGGCAGGGCUGGAGGAGCAGGCUAGGUCAUUUCCACAAGCUUGAAGUUGCACCUGGGACUGAAUAAGAGCUAGAUGGCCUUCACAAUUUUUAAUGCUGCUUGGAAAGGAUGCAGUAGGGGGAAUUAAGAGGAGAA